rfam:Macrostomum lignano uti_cns_0000806, whole genome shotgun sequence.
AAAACGGCCCUUUUCAGGGCCACCAAAUUUGUUUGAUGUUGCAAGU